rnacentral:rRNA from 1 species
UACGGGGGGGGCAAGCGUUGUUCGGAAUUACUGGGCGUAAAGCGCUCGUAGGCGGCUUUGUAAGUUAGAGGUGAAAGCCCGGGGCUCAACUCCGGAAUUGCCUUUAAGACUGCAUCGCUAGAAUUGUGGAGAGGUAAGUGGAAUUCCGAGUGUAGAGGUGAAAUUCGUAGAUAUUCGGAAGAACACCAGUGGCGAAGGCGACUUACUGGACAGAUAUUGACGCUGAGGUGCGAAAGCGUGGGGAGCAAACAGG